CUGAUGCAGCCAUGCCGCGUGUGUGAAGAAGGCCUUCGGGUUGUAAAGCACUUUCAGCGAGGAGGAAAGGUUGGCAGCUAAUAUCUGUCAACUGUGACGUUACUCGCAGAAGAAGCACCGGCUAACUCCGUGCCAGCAGCCGCGGUAAUAC
rnacentral:rRNA from 1 species